rnacentral:rRNA from 1 species
UACGUAGGGGGCAAGCGUUGUCCGGAUUUAUUGGGCGUAAAGAGCGUGUAGGCGGCCUGAAAGGUCAGCUGUGAAAACUCGAGGCUUAACCUCGAGACGUCGGUUGAAACCAUCUGGCUAGAGUCCGGAAGAGGAGUGUGGAAUUCCCGGUGUAGCGGUGAAAUGCGCAGAUAUCGGGAAGAACACCCGUGGCGAAGGCGGCCGGCUGGGGGCGCCCUGACGCUGAGGCGCGAGAGCGUGGGGAGCAAACCGG